AUGACUAAGGGAACUAAAGAAACAACAACAACAACAACAAUAACUAGUUCAUCCGUCAAUAUAUUCCCGAAAAGUCGAAAGCUAAGUGAUAACGAUUUUGUGAAAUCUUCUAAGAUGUUAAUUGGUAAAAGGAUUGGAGUUGGUUUAGGCAAAAGCUGGUCGAGAUGCGAGCGGGCGUUUUGA
rnacentral:rRNA from 1 species